rnacentral:lncRNA from 1 species
CCUUUCUCAGAGUUGUUUCCAAGUGCAUGUCUCCAUAUUCCCUACAGCAAACCCAAGCCAGGCAAUGCUGAAGCAGCGGCAUCUUCAGUGCACACCAUGCAAAGGUGAGAUGCCACUACUUGCAAAGUUCUGGCCCACAUUGGAAUUAAGUGGAAUUGCCGAGCCUUCGUGAGGUUUGCAAUUAAAUGUAUUGUAAUGCAAGUGGACUUAUCAAUUAAUUUAUUUUGAGACAAAAGGUGUAGAGCCCCCUAGCUAUUAGCAAUGUAAAUCACAGCCAGGUAUAGCAGGGGUGAGGUUCUAUGCAAUACUUUGGGUUGGUUAUAGUCAUUAGGGGGUUUCAAACAUGGCAUUUUUGGGGUGAUAUUUCACCAUGAU